CUUUGGGUGUGACUGCGUACCUUUUGUAUAAUGGGUCAGCGACUUAUAUUCUGUAGCAAGGUUAACCGAAUAGGGGAGCCGGAGGGAAACCGAGUCUUAACCGGGCGUUAAGUUGCAGGGUAUAGACCCGAAACCCGGUGAUCUAGCCAUGGGCAGGUUGAAGGUUGGGUAACACUAACUGGAGGACCGAACCGACUAAUGUUGAAAAAUUAGCGGAUGACCUGUGGCUGGGGGUGAAAGGCCAAUCAAACCGGGAGAUAGCUGGUUCUCCCCGAAAGCUAUUUAGGUAGCGCCUCGUGAAUUCAUCUCCGGGGGUAGAGCACUGUUUCGGCUAGGGGGCCAUCCCGGCUUACCAACCCGAUGCAAACUGCGAAUACCGGAGAAUGUUAUCACGGGAGACACACGGCGGGUGCUAACGUCCGUCGUGAAGAGGGAAACAACCCAGACCGCCAGCUAAGGUCCCAAAGUCAUGGUUAAGUGGGAAACGAUGUGGGAAGGCCCAGACAGCCAGGAUGUUGGCUUAGAAGCAGCCAUCAUUUAAAGAAAGCGUAAUAGCUCACUGGUCGAGUCGGCCUGCGCGGAAGAUGUAACGGGGCUAAACCAUGCACCGAAGCUGCGGCAGCGACACUGUGUGUUGUUGGGUAGGGGAGCGUUCUGUAAGCCUGUG
rnacentral:rRNA from 2 species